rnacentral:SRP_RNA from 1 species
GCUGGGCGUGGUGGCGCGUGCCUGUAGUCCCAGCUACUCGGGAGGCUGAAGUGGGAGGAUCGCUUGAGCCCAGGAGUUCUGGGCUGUAGUGCGCUAUGCCGAUCGGGUGUCCGCACUAAGUUUGGCAUCAGUAUGGUGACCUCCCGGGAGCGGGGGACCACCAGGUUGCCUAAGGAGGGGUGAACCGGCCCAGGUCGGAAACGGAGCAGGUCAAAACUCUUGUGCUGAUCAAUAGUGGGAUCGCGCCUGUGAAUAGCCACUGCACUCCAGCCUGGGCAACACAGCAAGACCCCGUCUCU